UUAAGCUACUAAGAGUAUAGAGCGGAUGCCUUGGUGUCGGUAGGCUAUGAAGGGCGCGACAGACUGCGAAAAGCCACGGGAAGUUGUCAAUACACAUUGACCCGUGGAUUCCCGAAUGGGGCAACCCGGCAGGUUAAUAGCCUGUCAUCCUUAACUGAAUACAUAGGUUAAGGAAGCUAACUCAGGGAAGUGAAACAUCUCAGUACCUGAAGGAAAAGAAAAAGACAUUUAUUCCGUUAGUAGUGGCGAGCGAACGCGGAGAAGCCCAAACCGUGCACAUGUCAAGGCUGCAGCUAUUGUGUGUGCGGUGUUGUAGGACCUGCUUGGAGCAGCUGCCGAUGCUCCGAAGAGUUACAAAAUCUGUUUUUAGCUGAAGGCUCUGGAAAGAGCCGCCAUAGAGAGUGAAAGCCUCGUAAGCGAAAAAAGCAGAUCUCUUUGCAGUGUUCCUGAGUACCACGGGACACGUGUUAUCCUGUGGGAAACCGGCCGGACCACCGGCCAAGGCUAAAUACUACCUGACAACCGAUAGUGAACCAGUACCGUGAGGGAAAGGUGAAAAGUACCCCUGUUAGGGGAGUGAAACAGUACCUGAAACUGUAUACUUACAAGCGAAGGGAGCACUAUGUAUAUUUGGAUAAAGGCUUCGGUCUUUAUUUGGAUAUACAGUGUGACCUUGUGCCUUUUGCUUAAUGAGCCGGCGAGUUAAUGGGUGCAGCAAGGUUAAGCCGUUCCGCGGCGCAGCCGAAGCGAAAGCGAGUGUGAAAGCGCGUUUAGUUGUAGUCAUUAGACCCGAAGCCAAGUGACCUAGGCAUGACCAGGCUGAAAUUCGCGUAACAGCGAAUGGAGGGCCGAACCAGUUGGUGUUGCAAAACCUUUGGAUGAGUUGUGUCUAGCAGUGAAAAGCUAAUCGAACUUGGUGAUAGCUGGUUCUCCUCGAAAUAGCUAUAGGGCUAGCCUCAUAUGCUUUCUUGUGGAGGUAGAGCACUGAAUAGGCUAGGGGCGAUAACCUCGUUACCAAACCUAAUCAAACUCCGAAUGCCGCAAGUUUUGAAUAUGGGAGUCAGACUGUGAGGGAUAAGCUUCAUGGUCAAAAGGGAAACAGCCCAGAUCCACAGCUAAGGUCCUUAAAUACUGUCUAAGUGGUAAAGGAUGUGAAAUUUCUCAAACAGCCAGGAUGUUGGCUUAGAAGCAGCCAUCAUUUAAAGAGUGCGUAAUAGCUCACUGGUCAAGAGAUUUCGCGCCGACAAUACAACGGGGCUAAAGACAGUUACCGAAGCUUGGGAAUUGAUUUAUCAAUUGGUAGAGGAGCGUUCUUAUCCGACUGAAGCUCGAUCGUGAGGACGGGUGGACGGAUAAGAAGUGAAGAUGCCGGCACGAGUAGCGCAAAUUUGGAUGAAAAAUCCAAAGACCGUAAAUCUAAGGUUUCCUAGAGCUAGGUUAAUCCUCUCAGGGUUAGUCGGGACCUAAGCCGAGGCCGAAAGGCGUAGGCGAUGGACAAGCAGUUAAUAUUCUGCUACCACCUUGUGCGCGUUAUUACGAUGGAGUGACGCAGGGAGAUAGUUGAGCCCCCUAUUGGAUGGGGGUCUAAGCGUUCAGUGUGUAUUCCAGGCAAAUCCGGAAUACAUUAAGCACGAAGCGUGACGGGGAGCCUCGUUAGAGGCGAAGUCAAUGAGUCUGCACUGCCUGGAAAAACUUCUAAGGAGUGCAUAGGGUGCCCGUACCGUAAACCGACUCUGGUAGAUGGGUAGAAUAUACCAAGGUCUUCGAGAUAACUCCUCAAAAGGAACUCGGCCAACUCACCCCGUAACUUCGGGAGAAGGGGUGCCCCGUUAGUGUGAAGCAACUCGUUUGUGGAGCAUGAAGGGGCCGCAGUGAAUAGUCCCAGGCGACUGUUUAUCAAAAACACAGGGCUCUGCUAACACGAAAGUGGAUGUAUAGGGCCUGACGCCUGCCCGGUGCCGGAAGGUUAAAGGGAGCUGUCAGUCAUACUUGUAUGAGGAAGCAGCGAACUGAAGCCCCGGUAAACGGCGGCCGUAACUAUAACGGUCCUAAGGUAGCGAAAUUCCUUGUCGGGUAAGUUCCG
rnacentral:rRNA from 1 species